UACAGAGACCUCAAGCGUUAUCCGGAAUCAUUGGGCGUAAAGCGUACCGAUAGGUGGUUUAGAAAGUCAGAUGUGAAAUUCCAAGGCUCAACUUUGGGACUGUCAUUUGAAACGUUCUAGACUAGAGGGGCAAAGAGGAAGCUGGAACGAACGGUGUAGUAGUGAAAUGCGUUGGAUAUCGUUCGGAAACACCAAUAGCGAAGGCGGGCUUCUGGGUGCCACCUGACACU
rnacentral:rRNA from 1 species